ACUUCCUAAAACCACAUUUAAUUAAACACAGUUAAAACCCAUUAGCAAAAUCACAGUUCUCCAAAACGACAGGACUGCAGUCUCAGCAGCACUGCAGUCAGACCUACAGCCUGCUCAUCCUGCAGAGCUCCCCAGGAGUUGUCCCCGCACCCGCCACACGGGGAAGGUAGGACAGAGACCCGUGCAAACCUGCCUGGUUAGCCCGCAUUCCCAGUAUUGUUCACGGUACCCUUAGUCAGCAGGAAGGAAUGCGGGCCAGCACCUGUCACCAAGGCUCGCCUACCUGUGGGUUCCAGCUGCGCUAUCGCCACCGAGUAUUGCGCGGCUGCCUCUGCGAAUUGCCCGCCGCGGAACAGCUCGUUGCCCCGUCUCUUGAGGCCGCUGGGGUUGUCAGCGGCUCGCGGCUCCUCCGGGUAGUGACUGUCGCCGGUGCUGGCCGUCGCUGUCUCUCGCAGGCCUCCCUGCUGCUCAGCUCGGGGCCCCGGUGUCCGGCCCCGCCGCGACCGCCUGCCACCCUCGCUCCGGCGGACCAUCAGCUUCUUCUGAAUGUUGCCCAUGGCCGCUGUAGAGAAGGGCGCACCGGGAGGUGAGUACAUACAUCCCUGUCCCGCGAUCCAGCCUGGCCAGUGCGGGCGGCGCCACCCUGCGGGCGGAGUCCCAGCUCCCCGCCACCCCGAGUGGGCGUCCUGCUUGGCCUGUCCCAGGAUCUCCAAGGACCCGGUCCAGCGCCCAUCUGCACCAAGCCAGCCGAGAUUAACCCCUUAACUGCUGGAGAGCAAGCGCCUUUCAAAACCAUCUCCUACACCAGACCACACCUGUCCAGACAACAACAGCACUGUAAGAACCUGGAUGUUCACUGUGUGUUUGGUUUAGAGACUGGGCUUAGGGAGCCCACGCUGGCCUUGAAUUUGCUACAUAGACAACAAUGGCCUGGAACUUCUGAGCUCCUUCCUCCGCCUCCCAAAUGCUGGGAUUAGAGACAAAAGUUUCUAUGCCAGGCUCAGAUGCUCACUUUGUCUGACUGCUUUCCAGACUGUAUAAAAGAUAAAGUACCAAAGCCACGGCUGUGUCACAGUGAACAUUUCUAACAGUCCCGCUAGGGAAGAAGAAACACAAACAGAUGGAAGCUCUGCGGGAGACUAGGAAUUUUCCUCGGCUGGCAGGAGUCCUUAGCACACAUUCUAUGAAGCAGAGGUAGAGGAAAGGUGAGGAGAACCUGCUGACAGUGCAGUCUCAGCUUCUACCACAGCAGCUGUCACUGGGGAAACUGACCCUGCGGUUUCUGUGCUCCUUCCAUUGGGAUGAACUGGGUCUGACAGGUUAAUUCCCAAGGAGUGAGCUAUUGACCAGAGGCCCCCAAGGCACCCAGAACCUGCAGGCCACUGCCACUGCUCUUGUGCCUACCACAACUAGAUGAUGAGGCCCUCACACUGGCUGCAGAUCUUGACCAGGAAACCUUCCCUGUAGGCUGCCCUUCACGGUGCUGGAAGGUGCUAGGCUGGAUGCCAGAGGAGAAAAGACAGUGGUCUCACUCUGUACUGGAUGCUGCAUACUAUACCACCAACCUACAGCAAAGAUUGCUCUCUGACACAACAGCGGGAAGACUAUUUACAGGGUAGCCAGCCGCUCUUGACUGGGUCUGAGGUCUGCUCCACGGCAGGAUCUGCUCAUGGUAUAGCAAAUAGGAUAGAGAUCCACGAUUAGGAAAACACAGGCUCUCAGGAGACCGAACUGAUAUGAUCUUAUAAAUAAAUAUUCAUGUUGUUAAAUACUUUCUCAAUA